GCCCAGAUGGCGGAAUUGGUAUACGCGCUAGUUUCAGGUACUAGUGAGGGCAACCUCGUGGGGGUUCAAGUCCCCCUUUGGGCACAA
rnacentral:tRNA from 1 species